GGACUACAAGGGUUUCUAAUCCUGUUUGCUCCCCACGCUGUCGCGCAUCAGUGUCAGAAACUGCCCAGCAGACCGCCUUCGCCACCGGUCUUCCUCCGGAUCUCUACGCAUUCCACCGCUACACCCGGAAUUCCGUCUGCCUCUACAGCCCUCAAGUUUGACAGUCGGCACGGCAGACCCGGGGUUGAGCCCCGGGCUUUCACCACACCCUUAUCAAACCACCUACGCGCCCUUUACGCCCAGUGAUUCCGGACAACGCUCGCACCCCCCGUAUUACCGCGGCUGCUGGCACGGAGUUAGCCGGUGCUUCCUCACCCGGUACCGUCAGGCUCGAUUAAUCGAGCUAUUCGUCCCGGGCAACAGUGGUUUACACUCCGAAGAGCUUCAUCCCACACGCGGC
rnacentral:misc_RNA from 1 species